rnacentral:rRNA from 1 species
UACGGGGGGAGCAAGCGUUGUUCGGAUUUACUGGGCGUAAAGGGCGCGUAGGCGGCGCAACAAGUCACUUGUGAAAUCUCCGGGCUUAACUCGGAGCGGUCAAGUGAUACUGUCGUGCUAGAGUGCAGAAGGGGCAACUGGAAUUCUCGGUGUAGCGGUGAAAUGCGUAGAUAUCGAGAGGAACACCUGCGGCGAAGGCGGGUUGCUGGGCUGACACUGACGCUGAGGCGCGAAAGCUAGGGGAGCGAACAGG